rnacentral:rRNA from 1 species
AUGGAUGACGUCCCCCUGUCGGACCCUCUACGGAUCGGCCUCCCCGAGUUCAAUAAUGCCCCGUUGAAGAAGCGCCUGAGUUGGCGCCCACGGAACCCUCAGAGGGAAGCUGACAGGGACGUCCUGUACCUGAUGAGCCAGAUAAGGUUGUUGGCUCAUUCCGGACUGACCAUGAUUAAGGUAAUGGCCAUAUGCAUUACGCGAGGGGUGCAGCUGCUUCAAUAUAGAGGCCACCCCAUGUGGGAUUUCAACGGGGAGGAUGACGCUACCCAGUGCGGUCGCAAGGGGCCAGAUUCGGCCGCCACUUUAACAAGAAUCUUAUCCGCUUUGUACAAGGGGGAAGAGGAAGAAUUCCUCCGUAUCAACCCGGAAGGCGGAUUCUCCAUGUACAGUCCUCCUAGUUGGGAGCUGCGCCAGGCUGUGAAGGAAAUAAACAUCCCUACUCCACAACCCGAGGACCCGGAACGGUCCCUCGAUCCGGACUCCCAAGAAGAUCCGGACUUAUGCGUGGAGUUGAUUGAUGGAGUAUUUCAUCAAUUGAGCAAGGAUAACUCCUUAGUGGCCAUCACGGCCGACUAUCCCGGACUACUUCCGGCCUCCAAGGGUAAAUCCUUGAGGCGGAAGGCCGAGCCCACGGUGGGCAACCAACAAGGGCCGCUGAAGCCAGGCGGGCCAAAAAGAACUACGGACCAGAUCGAGAUUCCGGUGCAACGAAAGAAGAGAGCCCACCAGACUAUGUCCGCCGGCCAAGGUUCGAGGCCGGGUCCGGAAGCGGAGGCGGACACGGGACGCGCCUCGGGCGCUCCUCCGACAGAGGGCGCCGACGGGCUAUCUGCCACCAAUUCAAAGGUGGAGAGUGCCCUGAACCACAGGCGUCGCCGGACUAUUCUUUGUGACGCGUGUUUUUCCCCGGACGCGUUGGACGCCUUUAAUACAGGAGAUGCGUAUCUCCGUGCUGCUCAAAAUGGUCUAGCCAGAGCCACGGAGCAGUAUGUGAAAGACAUACAUGUGAGUAGGAUUGAAGCUGAUAUAUGUCAGUAG